AUAGCAAUAGCCUUCAAUUCCUACUUUAUUGACUCUGUCAGGGUACUGACACAGAACCCCUCCACUGGUUUCUUGGGCAAAGUGCUAGUGAAUGACGCUCAACCUGUCUUCAUCAUAAGGGAGGUUUCUGAGUCAAAGGUGGACAAGGUGAUUAGCUCACAAAAGAACUCUAAAGCCAAAGAUGUGUUUGGGAUGGACUCUACCUUUCUUAAAAACUACAAAGAGUCACUCAUUGGCCCCAUUACUAAGGUCACCAACACAUCUAUUGGUCUCGGGGUGUUUCCAAGGGUAUGGAAGUCGGCCAUAAUAACGACCAUGUUUAAAUCAGGCGACCCUGCUGACGUGAGUAACUACAGGCCCAUUAGUAUACUACCUGUGGUGUCAAAGGUUGUUGAAAAGUGUGUAGCAGACAAACUGAUUGCCCACCUCAACAACAGCCGCUUCACAUUACAUUCCAUGCAGUUUGGCUUCAGAGCGAAACACUCCACAGAAACGGCCAACUGCUUUCUUCUGGAAAAUGUGAAGUCCAAGAUCUACAAAGGGGGUGUUGUUGGGGCUGUGUUUCUGGACCUAAGGAAGGCUUUUGAUACAGUUAACCAUGAGAUUCUCAUCACAAAAUUGUCCAAGUUCAACUUUUCACCCGAUGCCUUGAGAUGGAUGAAAUCAUACCUUGAAGGCAGAACUCAGUGUGUCAGAGUGAGCAAUGAGCUGCCGCCCACUCUUAGCUAUGAUGUGGGCAUGCCCCAAGGGUCAAUACUGGGGUCCCUCCUGUUCAGCCUGUACAUUAAUGAUCUGCCUUCUGUCUGUACUGGGUCUGAAGUUCAAAUGUAUGCAGAUUAUACAGUGAUAUAUGUGCAUGCAAAGAGCAAACAACAAGCUGCACAAGAACUCACUACUGUAAUGGUCCAGGUUACAAAGUGGCUCAGUGACUCCUGUUUGCAUCUCAAUGUGAAAAAAACUGUUUGAAUGUUCUUCACAAAGAGGGCAACAGAUGCUACUGAGCCAGAUGUGUAUGUGUCAGGGGAGAAGCUCCAGGUGGUAUCUGAUUUUAAGUACCUUGGCAUCAUACUUGAUUCCAACCUCUCUUUUAAAAAGCAUGUGAAAAAGGUAAUUCAAAUAACCAAUUUCAACCUAGCUAAUUUCUGAUUUAUACGAAUUUGUUUGACUACAGAGGUAGCAAAACUGUACUUCAAAUCUAUGAUACUCCCCCACUUAACAUACUGCUUGACUAGUUGGGCCCAAGCUUGCUGUACAACAGUAAGACCUAUUCAGUCUGUCUACAAACAGGCUCUCAAAGUGCUUGAUAGGAAGCCCAAUAGCCAUCAUCACUGUCACAUCCUCAGAAAGCAUGAGCUCCUGAGUUGGGAAAAUCUUGUGCAAUACACCGAUGCAUGUCUUGUAUUCAAGAUCCUAAAUGGCUUGGCUCCCCCUCCACUCAGUAUUUUUGUUAAACAGAAAACCCAAACAUAUGGCAGCAGAUCCACAAGGUCUGCCAUGAGAGGUGACUGUGUAGUUCCCCUAAGGAAAAGCACCUUUAGUAAAUCCGCUUUUUCUGUGAGAGCUUCCCAUGUCUGGAAUACACUACCAUCAGACACACAUAACUGCACCACAUAUCACACUUUCACAAAAUGCUUGAAGACAUGGCUAAAGGUCAAUCAGAUUUGUGAACAUGGUCCCUAGCUGUGUGUUGCCGCUUUCCAUGUCUAUUGUCUGUAACUUGUUAGGUGUGGAAACACUUUGUUGCUUUUAUGAAUUUUGUCUUGCUGCUUUUUGUUCUAUGUUGCUCUGUCUGUAUGCUACGUCUUGCUUGUCCUAUGUAGCUAUGUCUGUAUGCUACGUCUUGUUCUAUGUUGCUAUUGUCUAUAUUGUAAUUGUUUUUAAUAACCUGCCCAGGGACUGCGGUUGAAAAUUAGCCGGCUGGCUAAAACCGGCAAUUUUACUGAAACGUUGAUUAAUGUGCACUGUCCCUGUAAAAAUAAACUCAAACUCAUAACUCAUAGUCUGGUCUAGCAUACAGCUUGCGCUAUCAGGGUCUGGGCUGGGUUUCUGUAAAGCACUUUAUGACAACAGUGACAUCAGCAUCCAUAAUGAUAUGUGUCUGUGUCCCCUCUUUAUGGUUACCAGGACAAUGCUAGCCCUUCCUCCCUCCUGGAGUCCCCGUGUCGUGUCUCUCCCGGUAGCACCUUACUGCUGGGUAUGAAGAGGUUGUCUGUGCUGCUGGUGGACUGCAGGAAAACAACGGGGCUGAGUGGAACUGUGAGAGGAGGAGAAGAGAAGAAAGGAUCAGAUUUGACACAUCAAAGAGAAAAACAAAAUUCGGAGGAACCAGAGACAUCCAAACCAGCAAGCCGGCACCUUGGACAGCGUUUUACCAAGUUAGGAAGCCUGAAAAGACAUGGGAGGACACACACUGGAGAUAAGGCACACCAUUGCGCCCAGUGUGGACAUAGUUUUAACCAGUUAAGAAGCCUGAAAGCUCAUGAGCGAAUACACACAGGGGAGAAGCCUUACCACUGCUCCCUCUGUUCAAAGAGUUUUAUCCAUUCAAGACAUCUGAAAAAACACACGAUACUGCACACAGGGGUGAAGCCUUACCAAUGCUCAGACUGUGGGAAGACAUAUUGCUCAUCAGAGUCACUAAAAAUUCAUGUGCGAACCCACACAUGGGGAGAAGCCUUACCACUGCUCCCAGUGUGCAACGAGUUUUAUCCAGUUAGGACACCUGAAAGCCCAUGAGCGAAUACACACAGGGGAGAAGCCUUACAAAUGCUCAGACUGUGGGAAGACAUAUUACUUUUCAUCGUUACUUAAAGUUCAUGUAAGAACCCACACAGGGGAGAAGCCUUACCACUGCUCCCAGUGUGCAAAGAGUUUUAUCCAGUUAGGAAACCUGAAGGUUCAUGAGCGAAUACACACAGGGGAGAAGCUUUACCACUGCUCCCAUUGUGGAAGGAGUUUUAACCAGUCAGGAAACCUGAAGGUUCAUGAGCGAAUACACACAGGGGAGAAGCUUUACCACUGCUCCCAUUGUGGAAGGAGUUUUAGCCAGUCAGGAAGCCUGAAAACUCAUGAGCGAAUACACACAGGGGAGAACCCUUACCACUGCUCCCACUGUGCAAAGAGUUUCAUCCAUAUAGGACAUCUGAAAGAACACAUGAUACUGCACACAGGAGUGAAGCCUUACCAAUGCUCAGACUGUGGGAAGACAUAUUGCUCAUCACAGUCACUUAAACGUCAUGUGAGAAUCCACACAGGGGAGAAGCCUUACCACUGCUCCCAGUGUGCAAAGAGUUUUGUCCAGUUAGGACACCUGAAAGCCCAUGAGCGAAUACACACAGGGGAGAAGCCUGCUUCCACUGUGCAAAGAAUUUUACCAAAUUAUGAAGCCUGAAAAAACACAUGAGACUGCGCACAGGGGUGAAGCCUAACCAAUGCUCAGACUGUGGGAAGACAUAUUACUCAUCACGGUCACUUAAUCAUCAUGUGAGAAUCCACACAGCAGAGAAUAAAUACUUCUAGUGUGUAUAUUGAUAUUUCACUUCGCAUUGACUUAAAAUUAAUCAGAGAACAUACACAGUGUUCCCAUUGACUUAUAAUGUUGACUGAUAAUGUGUUUACUUGUUUAUACCGUAUGAAAUGUAAUUAUACAAAGAAUACUUACACAUAUAAUAUACGUUUUUAUUAGAAAACAUGAAUUGAAUAUGGAGUAUGUCAGUUUGAAUAUAAAGUAGAUCAGAUUCCAUGUGUUUAAAUGGUCCUUUUUAAACUCUGUUUGUGUUUAUCUUGGUGUGUCAUUCCUCCAGCACUACAGAUAAUACAGUGAUAUUUGGAUGUGAUGCAUUUGCUCCAUUGUUUACAUUUGCAUUGUUGGCCCACUGAUGAUUUAAUGAAAUUAAAAUGUUCACAGACUCUGUGAUGGAAAAUGUUAAUCGUAUGUGACUAUCCUUGUGAAACUGUCCUAUUAUAAUCUCCUGUUCUUGGGAGUAUCAUCCUGUGUUGCAAACCAGCUGCACCUGCGUCCUUGUAUGAAUAGAGUCCCUCCCAGGAACAGGAAACUAUAAAGAUAUGUGUUCAUCACCCAAUGCUUCAGAAAUUCAGACUGUCUACACUGCGCUGUGUAACUCUGUUAUUCUCUUUGAGCUUAGAAAUAAAGAAUCUUGGUUUGA